GCUAACUCCGUGCAAGGAGCAGUGGUAAUACGGAGGGGGCAAGGAGUAUCCGGAUUUAUUGGGUUUAAAGGGUCCGUAGGCGGACUUAUAAGUCAGUGGUGAAAGCCUGUCGCUUAACGAUAGAACUGCCAUUGAUACUGUAAGUCUUGAGUAUAUUUGAGGUAGCUGGAAUAAGUAGUGUAGCGGUGAAAUGCAUAGAUAUUACUUAGAACACCAAUUGCGAAGGCAGGUUACCAAGAUAUAACUGACGCUGAGGGACGAAAGCGUGGGGAGCGAACAGGAUUAGAUACCCUAGUAGUC
rnacentral:rRNA from 1 species